rnacentral:rRNA from 1 species
AUUGAACGCUGGCGGCAGGCUUAACACAUGCAAGUCGAACGGUAACAGGGUGCUUGCACCGCUGACGAGUGGCGAACGGGUGAGUAAUGCGUCGGAACGUGCCGAGUAGUGGGGGAUAACGCAGCGAAAGUUGAGCUAAUACCGCAUACGUACUGAGGUAGAAAGUGGGGGACCUUCGGGCCUCACGCUAUUCGAGCGGCCGACGUCUGAUUAGCUAGUAGGUGAGGUAAAGGCUCACCUAGGCGACGAUCAGUAGCGGGUCUGAGAGGAUGAGCCGCCACACUGGGACUGAGACACGGCCCAGACUCCUACGGGAGGCAGCAGUGGGGAAUUUUGGACAAUGGGCGAAAGCCUGAUCCAGCCAUGCCGCGUGUCUGAAGAAGGCCUUCGGGUUGUAAAGGACUUUUGUCAGGGAGGAAAUCCCUAGUGCUAAUAACACUGGGGGAUGACAGUACCUGAAGAAUAAGCACCGGCUAACUACGUGCCAGCCGCCGCCGUAA